GGGAAGGUGGCUCAGUGGUAGAGCACUUGCCUUGCAUGUAUGAGGCCUUGGGUUUGAUUCCUCACCACCACA
rfam:Dipodomys ordii contig_58992, whole genome shotgun sequence.